CCUACGGAGGGCAGCAGUGGGGGAUAUUGCACAAUGGGGGAAACUCUGAUGCAGCGACGCCGCGUGAGGGAAGACGGUCUUCGGAUUGUAAAACUCUGUCGUUGGGGAAGAAAAUGACGGUACCCAAAGAGGAAGCUCCGGCUAACUACGUGCCAGCAGCCGCGGUAAUACGUAGGGAGCGAGCGUUGUCCGGAAUUACUGGGUGUAAAGGGAGCGUAGGCGGCCGAGAAAGUUGAAUGUUAAACCUACCGGCUAAACUGGUAGUGGCGUUGAAAAAUUGUGGUCUUGAUGGAAGUAGAGGCAGGGGGAAUUCCGAGUGUAGCGGUGAAAGGCGUAGAUAUUAGGAGGAACACCAGUGGCGAAGGCGGUCUGCGGGGCCUUAAUUGACGCUGAGGAUCGAAAGCGGGGGGAGCAAACAGGAUUAGAUACCCCGGUAGUC
rnacentral:rRNA from 1 species